GUAAGGAAUAUUGGACAAUGGACGCAAGUCUGAUCCAGCCAUGCCGCGUGAAGGAUUAAGGUCCUCUGGAUUGUAAACUUCUUUUAUAAGGGACGAAAAAAGGCUUUUCUAAGUCGUCUGACGGUACCUUAUGAAUAAGCACCGGCUAACUCCGUGCCAGCAGCCGCGGUAAUACGGAGGGUGCAAGCGUUAUCCGGAUUCACUGGGUUUAAAGGGUGCGUAGGCGGGCAGGUAAGUCAGUGGUGAAAUCCUAGAGCUUAACUCUAGAACUGCCAUUGAUACUAUCUGUCUUGAAUAUUGUGGAGGUAAGCGGAAUAUGUCAUGUAGCGGUGAAAUGCUUAGAUAUGACAUAGAACACCUAUUGCGAAGGCAGCUUACUACGCAUAUAUUGACGCUGAGGCACGAAAGCGUGGGGAUCAAACAGGAUUAGAUACCCCUGUUAGUCC
rnacentral:rRNA from 1 species